rnacentral:lncRNA from 1 species
GUCUAGUAGAGCUGUGUUGUGAUGGGACGGGUCUAGUCGUGCUGUCCUGAGGCGGGUCUGGUCUGGUAAAUAUGUGUUGUGAUGGGCCUGGUCUAGUAGAGCUGUGUUGUGAUGGGACGGGUCUGGUCCAGUAGAGCUGUGUUGUGAUGGGUCUGGUCUAGUAGAGCUGUGUUGUGAUGGGUCUGGUCUAGUAGAGCUGUGUUGUGAUGGGCCAGGUCUAGUAGAGCUGUGUUGUGAUGGGUCUGGUCUAGUAGAGCUGUGUUGUGAUGGGUCUGGUCUAGUAGAGCUGUGUUGUGAUGGGCCUGGUCUAGUAGAGCUGUGUUGUGAUGGGUCUGGUCUAGUAGAGCUGUGUUGGGAUGGGCCAGGUCUAGUAGAGCUGUGUUGGGAUGGGCCAGGUCUAGUAGAGCUGUGUUGUGAUGGGUCUGGUCUAGUAGAGCUGUGUUGGGAUGGGCCUGGUCUAGUAGAGCUGUGUUGUGAUGGGUCUGGUCUAGUAGAGCUGUGUUGGGAUGGGCCAGGUCUAGUAGAGCUGUGUUGGGAUGGGUCUGGUCUAGUAGAGCUGUGUUGUGAUGGGUCUGGUCUAGUAGAG